rnacentral:lncRNA from 1 species
GCAGUUACAGCUCACUGAGGACAUGACCCUAGAUAGGAAGAUCUGGAGGACGCGAAUUAGGGCAAAAGGCUAGGGUCAGUUUGGGUCGCUAGUAUAGGGAAUUACUUGGUGGGGGUAUUAUUCUUGUUAUGAUACCUUGUUUCAUGUUUUAUUACGAAUCUGUUUACUUUUCUCUGUUUAUUAUUACUUGUGGGUGUCGUAUUUAUGUUAUGUCAUCUUGUUCC